rnacentral:lncRNA from 1 species
UCAGUCCUGACAGAAACCAGGCUCAGACUUCCUAGACCCUGCCCUGAGGUUGAAAGGCCUCCAGCCUAGAGGUACCUGACCAGCCCAGCCUGCAAAACUCUGCAUCCUCCAGAGAACAAAGAUCUCUAGUAGAGCAGGUGUCCUUAGGUCACCUCCCAGCUGAGCUCACUCUGGCUGGAAGCUUUAAGAACCAUCUGAGAGAAAAGAGGCCCCAGGGGCUUGUGCCAGGGCCUCACUCUGCAGGUGGCCUGGCCCACUGCCCAUUUCUUUGGCACCAGGAAUGACGCUGCCCUGGGGGCUGACCACUCCCAGGACCCAGUAAGGAAAGAACCUGGACUCCACCGUGCCCAGCCCUCUGCAAGCAGUACAACUGGCCUUUGUCUGGUUAGCGCAAGCCCUAGCCUUUCACAGGAACCGCCCAAGGAUGCUCUGCAAGCGGGAACAUUACCCUCUAACACACAGCUGCUGGGUCAGCAAUAUGACUUGCUCGGCACCUGUCAAUCUUGCUGCUACUGUCCAUUCCAGCCCAGGCUGCUCACGCCACACUCACCACCGGGCAGAACCACGUUCUUUGCAAUGUCCCGAGUGCCUUAGUAAUUUACUUUGUUGUUUUGUUUUGAGAAAAGGUUUUCAUUCUGUAACCCACUGACUAUGUAGACUCAGUCUACAUAGGUGACCCUCCUACCGCAGCCCUCCUGAACGCUCUGAUUACAGGCAUAAGACCACGCCCAGUGUGAGUAUGUUAAACUGUCUACUUGUUGGGUCUGGAGAGAUUGGCCAGCAGUUAGGAGGACUUCCUGUUCUUCCAGAGAUCCAAGGUCAGUUUCCAGUACAACCCCUGUAACUUCCGUCUCGUAGGAUCCGGCUCUCUCUUUUGGUCCAAGGAUACCCACACACAUGUAGCAUACACAUAUGUAAGAAUAAAAAUAAGUCUUAAAAGACC